rnacentral:rRNA from 1 species
UACGUAGGUGGCAAGCGUUGUCCGGAAUUAUUGGGCGUAAAGGGUACGCAGGCGGUUUAAUAAGUCGAAUGUUAAAGAUCGGGGCUCAACCCCGUAAAGCAUUUGAAACUGAUAAACUUGAGUAGUGGAGAGGAAAGUUGAAUUCCUAGUGUAGUGGUGAAAUACGUAGAUAUUAGGAGGAAUACCAGUAGCGAAGGCGACUUUCUGGACACAGACUGACGCUGAGGUACGUAAGCGUGGGGAGCAAACAGG